UACAGAGGUCCCAAGCGUUGUUCGGAUUCACUGGGCGUAAAGGGUGCGCAGGUGGGUUUGCAAGUUUGAUGUGAAAGCCCCGGGCUUAACCCGGGAAUGGCAUUGAAUACUGCAGAUCUGGAGGAUUGGAGGGGGGACUGGAAUUCUUGGUGUAGCAGUGAAAUGCGUAGAUAUCAAGAGGAACACCAGUGGCGAAGGCGAGUCCCUGGACAGUUCCUGACGCUGAGGCACGAAGGUCAGGGGAGCAAACGGG
rnacentral:rRNA from 1 species